CACAGAAGCCCGGGGACUGGGAGUGUGCUGUUCCAGGGGCCAAGGGAGGAACAGCCUAGAACUCAUGAGUAUGAUCAAGCUACCCUGAGCAGGCUACCAGUUCCUAUGUGACAGAAGCCUGCCUCACACCUGGAGAGAAGGAAAGACGGUGGCAAGACACAGAGUUCCAGAAAGAACUGAACAGGGCCAGCAAGGUCCCUUGCCCAUGAACCUCAAUGUCCUCUGAAUGGCUGUUCCUGUGCCAUCAAACCUCCAAUUGUGUUCCUAUUUUCUUUGGUCUUCAUUCCUGAAGGCUACCAUGUGGAA
rnacentral:lncRNA from 1 species